AACCAAGACAGAUUCUUAACAACUUCAAUUCAAGAAACCGAGAACCCAACUCGACAGGGGAAAUUACCAUGUAUUCGCUCAAAAUCUGUUCAAGGGCACCGACGCUGACCGAACCCAACGGCGAAGGCAAACUGACCGCAGCCUGCGGUGACGACGGCAGCGGCGCCGUGGCGACGAAUGCAGCAGAGGCUGACCGACGGGAGGCUGCAGACGACGGCAGUUUUGGACGCGCGACAGCGCCGACAGGACCGUGGCGACCGCAAUUUGUCUUCCCGGUGAGCAGCGGCCGGCGACGGUGGAAGGCGACGGUGAAUCGGAGAAUCGACGGUUUCUGUUUUGGGGCUUUCUCUUUAAUUGGGAGUUUUCGUUUUCUUGUGAGAAAAAUCGAGAGAGAUGGAGGUGAAUUUGGAACUUCGUU